UUUUGCAAUAUGUUCCUGAUAU
rnacentral:miRNA from 1 species